UCAAUUUUAAAACACAACUCACGCCCCUCUUUUGCUCAAAGAAAAAGAAACUCAUGCCUCUCUUCCUCACGCCUCUCUUCCUCACCCCAUCGAAGCCGCCCCUGAAACUCCAGGGAAAGUGCCGCCGGCGAGCCACGGCCAUGGCCACAGAUUCUCUCUCGACCCCCUUCUCCAUCUCUCAGUCCCUAAUCUCUCUCCUCUCUCCCAAACAAAGCCUAGAUCUCCAAAUCCUCACUGCUUCUUCGCGAUUUCCGGCGACCACGACAGCCAUGGCUGUCGCCUCCGGCGAUUCGCCCCAAGCUCAGCCCCGAUCUGCCACCUCGCCGCUCCCCUUUCCCCUUCACCGCCGUCCGCCCCGUCACCAAGUCUUUGCCAGAGAUCUGCUCGGUAACGAAAUCUACUCCGAUCACUGCUGCAAUACGUCUUGGUGAUAACAUCGCCACUCCCGUUUCCCCUCCACCGCCAUCCGCCACCGUCGUCUCCGUCUGCCCUGUCACCAAGUCGCCGCCAGCGAUCUGCGCCUCUCCAUGGCUGAACUCAUUAAGGAAUGGUGAAGGGGUUAGGCUAAAUCUUACCUUUCGAGCAGCUGAAACCAUGGUAUGGCUUUGGCUGAAAAUGGUGAUCAACUAGGCCAACAUCAUUCCCAUUAGUUAAUGGCAUUCAUGGUGAUUCUUCUAAGAUAAAGCCUUAGUUGGCGAGAAAUUGUUUCCUCUCGCCUUUUAUUACCCGCAGAAGCUUCUCCAGCUGCAACUCAACCUUCUCUGGGGCCUCGAUCGCGUCCGCAAAGCUUGCCAUCUCUUCGGUGUGUGCAUUGUCCUCUUGGUUGGUUGUUGUUUUUGCUAAUGUACUGUGGCUCGAGUUUUAUAUGUUGUUUGUGCUUUGUUAUUAGCUGCAAACUUUUGAUUUUUUGUUGUUUUUUUAGUUUUCCCGAUGUGACCAGUCUUUAGUUGCGUAUUUUAAUUCAUUUUAAUGUGUGUUGUGGUGUUA